GUGUCAGCAGCCGCGGUAAAACGUAGGAGGCUAGCGUUAUCCGGAUUUAUUGGGCGUAAAGCGCGUGCAGGCGGUGCUCUAAGUUGGAUGUGAAAUCUCCCGGCCUAACUGGGAGGGGUCAUUCAAUACUGGGGCACUUGAGGGCAGGAGAGGGAAGCGGAAUUCCCGGUGUAGCGGUGGAAUGCGUAGAUAUCGGGAGGAACACCAGUGGCGAAAGCGGCUUCCUGGUCUGUACCUGACGCUGAGACGCGAAAGCUAGGGGAGCAAACGGGAUUAGAUACCCCGGUAGUCCUAGCUGUAAACGAUGGAUACUAGGUGUUGGUGGUAUUGACCCCAUCAGUGCCGUAGCUAACGCGUUAAGUAUCCCGCCUGGGGACUACGACCGCAAGGUUAAAACUCAAAUGAAUUGACGGGG
rnacentral:rRNA from 1 species